rnacentral:rRNA from 1 species
UACGUAGGGACCAAGCGUUGUCCGGAAUCAUUGGGCGUAAAGAGCGUGUAGGCGGCCAUUUAAGUCCUGCGUGAAAUCUCGGGGCUCAACCCCGAGCGGUCGUGGGAAACUGGAUGGCUAGAGUGCGGGAGAGGAGAGUGGAAUUCCUGGUGUAGCGGUGGAAUGCGCAGAUAUCAGGAAGAACACCCGUGGCGAAGGCGGCUCUCUGGAACGCAACUGACGCUGAGACGCGAAAGCGUGGGGAGCAAACAGG